rnacentral:rRNA from 1 species
CCUACGGGUGGCAGCAGUGGGGAAUAUUGGACAAUGGGCGAAAGCCUGAUCCAGCCAUGCCGCGUGUGUGAAGAAGGCCUUCGGGUUGUAAAGCACUUUCAGUGGGGAAGAAAGCCUUGGGGCUAAUACCCUCGAGGAAGGACAUCACCCACAGAAGAAGCACCGGCUAACUCCGUGCCAGCAGCCGCGGUAAUACGGAGGGUGCGAGCGUUAAUCGGAAUUACUGGGCGUAAAGCGCGCGUAGGCGGUCUGAUAAGCCGGUUGUGAAAGCCCCGGGCUCAACCUGGGAACGGCAUCCGGAACUAUCAGGCUAGAGUGCAGGAGAGGAAGGUAGAAUUCCCGGUGUAGCGGUGAAAUGCGUAGAGAUCGGGAGGAAUACCAGUGGCGAAGGCGGCCUUCUGGACUGACACUGACGCUGAGGUGCGAAAGCGUGGGUAGCAAACAGGAUUAGAUACCCGUGUAGUC